AUCUGGGUGGCUCAGUCGGUCAAGCGUCUGACUUAAGCUCAGGUCAUGAUCUCAUGGUUCGUGGGUUCAAGCCCCACAUCAGGCU
rnacentral:tRNA from 1 species